rnacentral:lncRNA from 1 species
UUUUUUUUUAAGAUUGCAUUUUUUUUAAGUAAUCACUAUACCCAAUGUGGUGUUUGAAUUCACAGCCCCAAGAUCAAAAGUCACAUGCUCACCAACCCAGCCAUCAGGGUGCCCCAAAUACAAUUUUCUUAAUAGAAAAUAUUAGAGUCAGAGCCUAAACAUAUGAAAGUCAACAUAUAUGAAAGCAAACACAUAUAUACAUCUAAAAUAUCACAUUUUAUAAGUAUUGGGCAAAAACGUUUGAGAAACACUGAACCUGCAUCUAGCCCCAGUUAUGCUUUUACUUGCUGCAGGAGCUUUAAAAAGUUAAUCUAACUGAUCUAUUCAUUUAUAAAAUAGGGAGACAAAUAAUUUUCUUCUCUACUUCCUAAGAGGCUUUUAAAAAAUCUAUUGGGAUAAUAUAUAUGGGGGGAAAAAACUCUGGAAACUAGAAACUUUCUGUGCAAGUAUUUGUAAACUUAGAUUUGAGAGCCAUAAGAAAAAGUGGCAGAUGGUAGAGAGACAAGAGUAUGAAUAUUUGUGAACUUCAGUUUUUUGUUAUCUUCCUGCCUUUCUUUUUUUUAAGAUUUUAAAUUUAUUUGACAGAGAGAUAGAACCAGAGAGCACAAGUGAGGGGAAUGGCAGAGGGAGAAGGAGGUUCUCUGCUGACCAGGGAGACCUCAGCUGGACUGAAUCCCCGGACCCUGGGAUCAUGACCCAUGCUGAAGGCAGAUGCUUAACCGACUGAGCCACCCCGGCACUCCUCAUAACUGCCUCUUAAAUAUAAAGAGUGACCAUCAGUCACCCACAUGACAGAAGUCUCUUUCCAGAUACCAUAGUGUCUCACAAAAAGCCCCAAUUCAAUUACUAUCAAGAACUAAAUCGAAAAAUACAUGUAACACACAAUUAUUAAGCUCUUCCUGCACACAAACCCAGAAUUGGGUCUUUUUUUUUUUUUUCAGUAACCAAUCUCUAGGAUUUUUUUAAUUCACUAUUUGUAUAUUGAAUACUUAUAUAAAGAGUCUACUAAACCAAAAAUUGCAGAGGUAAUCUUUAUGCAAGGUGACCUUCUUUCUAUUUUAUUAUUCAUUCUGGAAGCAGUGAUUAACCUGGAUAAGGAUAUAGUUACUUUAGUGUAAUAUUUUUUUCCCCAAAUUCCAACAGGUUGAGCGAAAAGGGUUAUCCAAAUAUACUGCUCUUCUUUGUGGAAACAAUCCCUUACGAUGUAAUACGAUUUUUCCUGGGCCUGGAUUUUCUCUGCCAUCCAGGAAUCGAGUUUGGUUCACACUAAAAUGUGAGAGCAACAUUUCAGGAUGGAGUUGGGGGGGAGGGGGCUUGCAGAACAACUGACCCUCACCCGAUGUUCCUUUUAAGACAUGAAACUGCAUUUCCAUCCCUUCACUAGUGGUGAGCAUCAAGUUCCAAAGAAGCAUCUGGAUUGCGGACAAUGUCAGCUAUCUUUGUAACUUGCAGAGGAAUGACCAACAUUUAGGAAAACAAGCGGCAGCUAAGCCAGGAAGGUCGGCUCGCAGGACCCGGAGGUCGUGGGUCACCGAUGAGCGGCCCGGGAAGCCUUGCCCUCCCCUGGAUUUUGUCCCUCCCAGAUUUCUGAGCUGGCGAGCAGCCGCU